rnacentral:rRNA from 1 species
UAUUUUGGAAGAGAUGCAUUUAUUAGAUAAAAAACCAAUACAUACUUUUUCAAGUAUGAAAUUUGGUGAUUUACAAUAACUUAGCAAAUCGCAUAGUGAAAACAGGCGAUAAAUCAUUCAAGUUUCUGACCUAUCAGCUUUCGACGGUAUGGUAUUGGCUUACCGUGGCAGUGACGGUUAACGGGGGAUUAGGGUUCGAUUCCGGAGAGGGAGCCUGAGAAACGGCUACCACAUCUAAGGAAGGCAGCAGGCGCGCAAAUUACCCAAUUCUAACAGCAUAAGAGAGGUAGUGACAAGAAAUAACAAUACAAGGCAGUUAAAAUGCUUUGUAAUUGGAAUGAUAGAAAUUUAAACACUUUUUAAAGUAUCAAUUGGAGGGCAAGUCUGGUGCCAGCAGCCGCGGUAAUUCCAGCUCCAAUAGCGUAUAUUAAAAUUGUUGCAGUUAAGAAGCUCGUAGUUGAAUUUCCGUUAAAAAUAACCGGUCUGCUUUUAAUAAAAGUGGUAUCUUGGUGUGUUUUUAGCAAUAAUGUCCUUUGAAAUGUUUUUUACUUUAUUGUGAUAAAUAAUAUUCAGGAUUUUUACUUUGAGAAAAUUAGAGUGUUUCUAGCAGGCUAACGCUUUGAAUACUGCAGCAUGGAAUAAUAAAAUAGGAUUUUAGUUCUACAUUAUUGGUUUUAAGAACUAAAUUAAUGAUUGAUAGGGACAGUUGGGGGCAUUUGUAUUUAACUGUCAGAGGUGAAAUUCUUAGAUUUGUUAAAGACAAACUACUGCGAAAGCAUUUGCCAAAGAUGUUUUCAUUAAUCAAGAAC